ensembl:lncRNA
UGGAGGUCUUAUGGCAGUCUUAUGGAAGGCAUAUGGAGGUCUUAUGGCAGUCUUAUGGAGGUCUUAUGGCAGUCUUACGGAAGGCUUAUGGAAGUCUUAUGGAGGUGUUAUGGCAGUCUAUGGAGGUCUUAUGGCAGUCUUAUGGAGGUCUUAUGGAGGUCUUAUGCCAGUCUUAUGGAAGGCAUAUGGAGGUCUUAUGGAGGUCUUAUGGAGGUCUUAUGGCGGUUUUAUGGAGGUCUUUUGGAGGUCUUAUGGAAGUCUUAUGGCAGUCUUAUGGCAGUCUUAUGGAAGUCUUAUGGCAGUCUUAUGGAAGGCUUAUGGAGGUCUUAUGGCAGUCUUAUGGAAGGCAUAUGGAGGUCUUAUGGCAGUCUUAUGGCAGUCUUAUGGCAGUCUUAUGGAAGGCAUAUGGAGGUCUUAUGGCAGUCUUAUGGAAGGCAUAUGGAGGUCUUAUGGAAGUCUUAUGGAGUAAUGAGUCUGAAUUUAAGAUAUUUCAUUCACAAAUAUCUUGCAGAAUUUUGUGGACAUUUCCCAACAUUAAAUGUACCUAUAAAUGUAUGAAACCCGUCGCUGAUUAUUUUCCCGCUAUAUCAGCACGACACUGUCGUGUUUUAUUCCUUACUUGGAAUACCAAUGUCUUCCUGCCUAUUCAUAAACCUGAAGCACGUGGUGCUAUUUAUGAACUACGAUAACUAUUUUAAGAUUUCUAUUUCAUUGGACAAAUGAAAUGUUUACGCAGUCAGUUUUCUCGAGUCUGGGUUCGGUUCCUGUCAGAACACUCCCAAAAAUUCCGACUCGGGCUUCACUGCCUGAGGUCGAAACGUGAAGGUUUUCUUCCCCCCUCAAUCAGAAGGUGGGAAUUGCGAUUAUUCCCGUAUGACGUGAACGCAGCAUUAGCAUAACUGAAAGCUGUGUGGUCCCGUGAGAACGCGGUGUCGCUUGGGAUGAGACGCGGUUGAAAGGGGCCCUGCUUUUUUUGGUCCGGGGUUAUUAAGGGACUCUGGGAUAGUCGCUUCAAUGAUUCCCCCUGCAGGGAGACUGAAAAGAAUUGAACCAAGCCGUUCGAUCGUAG